rnacentral:rRNA from 1 species
UGGGGAAUAUUGCACAAUGGAGGAAACUCUGAUGCAGCGACGCCGCGUGAGUGAAGAAGUAAUUCGUUAUGUAAAGCUCUAUCAGCAGGGAAGAUAGUGACGGUACCUGACUAAGAAGCUCCGGCUAAAUACGUGCCAGCAGCCGCGGUAAUACGUAUGGAGCAAGCGUUAUCCGGAUUUACUGGGUGUAAAGGGAGUGUAGGUGGCCAUGCAAGUCAGAAGUGAAAAUCCGGGGCUCAACCCCGGAACUGCUUUUGAAACUGUAAGGCUGGAGUGCAGGAGGGGUGAGUGGAAUUCCUAGUGUAGCGGUGAAAUG